ensembl:lncRNA
GAAAACUGACGCAAAUCUGUCUGCAAGGAGGAUAUAUCCUGCAACCGGCUUUGUUUACAAACUGUAGCCCACUCUUGCUAGUAUAAACUACUAGCGCACACAAAAAUGACAGCAAAUUGUAUAAACUGCUAGUAAAUCUGUCUGCCAGGAGGAUUUAUCUGGCAACCGGCUUUGUUUACAAAACUGUAGCUCAGGUUGGCUAGUAUAGACUACUAACACAAAGACAAAUGCUAACAAGUUGUAUUAGCUGCUGGUAAACUGACGCAAAUCUGUCUGCAAGGAGGCUUUAUCCAGCAACCGGUUUUGUUUACAAAACUGUAGCUCAUGUUAGGAGUGGGAUUAAUUACUACCUAACGCCAUCAAGAGCCUUCAUGUGUCUGUGAAUGAGGCUGAAUCGGCGUGUGCAACAGUCGGCAUUGACUUUCAAGCUCUUAUCUGCCGGGCAGUUUUAGAAACCUACCACAUCCCCAAAGAAACUGGAAGAAGAGGCAGAGGCUGGAGGGACUAAACUCUCAAUUCUGGCAUGUAGGUUUUUCAGCCCCAUGAUGGCUCCCUUGACUUUCCUUGUUGGUCCUGAUGUUGACAAACACCAACUGGAACCUCCAAAGAGAAACUCAAAGCCUAGAAUCAGGACUAUACAUGGACAUCUCUCUUAUGACUGGAUAAAUAAUGAGAACACAACCAAACAGAAGAAUCUAUGAAGCCAACUUUCCCAAUACUUUUGAGAUCACCUGAAAUCGGGGGACUAUGCAUAGAAAUUGUCAUAUCUGAAUGAAAAAUCCAACCUUUAUAGUACGCAGAAAUGUGCCCAUUCCCAAUAAUUACACAGGGCAUUGUAAGAACCAGGCAAAUAACUAUUUGAAUCAGUGAAGCAGCUACUAACUAACUAGUAUAUUGACAGGUAAUUACAGCCUUCUUACAUUCUGGAACAUAAUUCAGCGGAUAUAAAAUAAUUAUAGGUAUUUCUGCAUUUCUACCAGGUUGUCGCAGUCAUAUUUCACUUCAGUUUCCUAGAACCUGUUAUUUUAGCCCUGGAAACUGUACUGUAUUAGCACAAUAUUUUAGGUUCACACACCAAUGACACAAUUCCUGAUAUAUUACAUGACAUUCUUGUUUUUUAAUUCACAAAUAAAUACAGCAUCACGCAUCACCUAUUUUCUUGACAUAGCUCUUUAAGAAGAUAUUUAGUUUAUGCUCUUAAUUCACUGCACUACAGCUUACAGUUUCUACAGAUAAUAGUUAAAGCAAAGCCAUGUCAAUCUAUUCAAUUUAAAAUGCCAG